rnacentral:rRNA from 1 species
UACGAAGGGGGCUAGCGUUGCUCGGAAUUACUGGGCGUAAAGGGCGCGUAGGCGGACAUUUAAGUUAGAGGUGAAAGCCCAGGGCUCAACCCUGGAAUAGCCUUUAAUACUGGAUGUCUUGAGUUCGGGAGAGGUGAGUGGAAUGCCGAGUGUAGAGGUGAAAUUCGUAGAUAUUCGGCGGAACACCAGUGGCGAAGGCGACUCACUGGCCCGAUACUGACGCUGAGGAGCGAAAGCGUGGGGAGCGAACAGG